UCCUACGGGAGGCAGCAGUAGGGAAUCUUCCACAAUGGACGAAAGUCUGAUGGAGCAACGCCGCGUGAGUGAAGAAGGGUUUCGGCUCGUAAAGCUCUGUUGGUAGUGAAGAAAGAUAGAGGUAGUAACUGGCCUUUAUUUGACGGUAAUUACUUAGAAAGUCACGGCUAACUACGUGCCAGCAGCCGCGGUAAUACGUAG
rnacentral:rRNA from 1 species